GCUUCCAUAGCUCAGACGGCAGAGCGCGUCCUUGGUAAGGACGAGGUCACCAGUUCGAAUCUGGUUGGAAGCUCCA
rnacentral:tRNA from 1 species